UUGAUUGAUUGCCUUCUGCUAGUGUUAGUAGUUUUGCAUAUCUGCAGUGCUUGCGUUAUCAUGUGUUGAGUAUUGUAUUAGUCUAGUGUAUUUUUUAUUCGUGUGCAAUUAGCUGUAAACGUGGUCAUACCAUCUUUAAUUAGUUUUGUUCCGUGUGUAUUUGACAACAAUGACCAAAGACAUUGUAACUACACAUUCAGCUUAAAAUUUCGUGAAUAUGUUCACCCAUUGCGCACAUUAUUCUGUUUGUACGACCGUUUGUGAAAACACUUGGACAUCCUGUAGUAAAUGUUUUCACGGAUGAAGCAGACAAAGGAAAUGAAAUAACCGAUUAUUAAGACGUAAAAAGCUCCCGAGAAGUUGCCCAAUGAAAUUUGUCUAGCAUUCCCGGACACUGCCUUUUUCUGCUGCCUCCAUCGAGCUUCAUCCAGGCAUUUGAUAUUCAGCACCCUUUGACGAAGAUUCUGGUGAAUGGACUUCCUUUAGGCAAAGCCCAAGCCAAAGUUCCAGGAAUCGCUUCCAAAUUUCUGGCCAAUGCGAGAUUACAUUUUCCGGUUGCCUUGUAAUCGACGUCGAUCGCGUGGAUAGCGGUUGAUUUAAGCUUUUAGAUAUUAAAAGAACAAAAAAAAAUUUAAUAUGCAGAAGAAAUCGAUGGUUCAUCAUCUGAUGAGAUUCUUAAAUUUCAUUUGUUAAUUCUGGUGAUUUCAAUUCGAAUUGCUGUUACAUUGAAAUGAGCAUAAGAUCCAGAUUUCACAAGGUCAACGCACUCUUGAAGCGUCACACAACUGGAUUUCGUCUGGGAUCGCAUUUUAUCGCCAAGCUGUUGAGAGCGAGUUCUAUACCACGUCCUUUUUCAACGACAAGCUGGACGUUGGGAUUCUUGACCAGUUUUGCAAGGGAAUCUACCAAAGGUUCGCUGUUGGAUCCCAGGAUGUAAGAAAUCAAGAGGCUGUUGUAAGCACAGCCAAGCACCAAAGCCCCCAGACACCAAGAUCCAACAACAAAGUAAACUGCAUUUCGCAUCCGUGGAAAGUAUAACCCUGGGAAAAUUGCAUCAUUGGAGGCUUUAGACGUCACUGGACGAAUUGAAAAGUAAACUACUGCAGCGAAAACUAGUUUGAUUGAAACGAGUUAAAUCAUUUACAGCGAGAUUAAAAGGUUGAAGGAUAGCGCCAGAAUUGUCUGAUAAUUCGGGCAUCGGGAUUAGUAGAGCUGCGUCCGUGUAUGCGUAUCCUUCGGCGAGAUCCAUAGCUGCGAAACGCCUAGACGUCAUCAGAAGAGCUCCGAUGACCAAGUCACAUUUCUGGAACGCAUUAUAUAAGUAUGCAAGACCUGGGAGAACAUCGCUUUGUUUUUCUAGCCGGGUGUCGUUGACUUGAAGAAACGAGUACCUGCAAAUGAUAAUUACAUAAGUUAAUACAAUUACAUAUGUAUGCGUGAAAUCUGACAUUGAUUUACGUGAAAUUUAAACGAAGGGAUAGUGCUGCCAGAGUCCAAGCAGCUACGCCGUCAACUUUGAUAAUAUGUCCGGAUGAGUUUCUCUUCACAUAAAGAUGGGUUUCGAUUUCCUUGAGAAAAUUACAUUUUAAAAAUUCAGCUACAAAUUAAUUUUGUGUUUUCAUAUUUAGAUGAUAGAAGCCAACACAAACCUGCACUCCAACGAUGAGGUGUUUUCCGCUCAGAUAAGUAGCGUCGCUUGAAACGCAUCUUACCAGUCCAAGUAGAAACAACAGCCAGUGGCCUGUCAUCUAGCUGGGUAAUUAUUAUCAAAACUUGCGACAAACAAGUUGAAUAGUUUUGAAGAUGUGUCGGUCAUCGGGGAAAAAAUCAUUCUUUUUAUCAGCUGGAAUCUUGCAGCAACCCGCUAGAGUUGUCAGGGAAACCCUGAAAUAAAAACACGCAAACAAAUAAGCCUGGGAAAUAAAUAUAUUCAAAAGUUUAAAAAAAAGGACUGGCAUCAAACUAUUAGGCGUAUACCUUGUCAUAAAUUUUUAAAAUCCAAUUGUUAAGCAUACGUUAAAAAAUAACAUGUACUUAAUACUUAGAACGUUAGUUUUUCAAUAUUUGCCGAUAUUUGCUUGAUUAAAAUUUAUGCUCUUCUACAUCAAUCUACAAUUUUCGAGCGAAAGAGAUUUUUUUAUUAUGCAGGGCUACAUAUGUAAUAGGAGGGAAUUCAAUCAACACUGUCUUGGUGGCGGUAAGUCCCAUAUUUUUUUAAAUAAUUUAUUUACACUCCUCACACACACGCGCUCACCUUACUUUGCAUAAUCCCGACGUCAUUUAUUUCGUCCAGCCGGUACUCCGGUAUAGGUGUGCAGGGAAUAGGUUCCAGAUUCAUAAAAAUUUUAAAACCUACGUAUAUAUUUAUAUUUUCCAUAGCCGAUACCGAAGCUGUUACAAUGGCCUAUUUACCUUAGUACCGGUCUGUUUUGAAUAUGUCAGAAUUUUGAAUACGCGCACAACUUGCAUUAAACAUGCCAAAUCUUGACACAUCAGGGAAUCGUAGGGAAGAACGUGUUAGUCGAGGUAUGGCGGGACACGUACACUUUAUCUUUAAAGCUUUACAUUCAGAAACGUUCCUUUGAGAAGCAAAGUCUUAUAAAAUAGAUACAGUCGCAUGUAACCCCAGUAUCCCGUC
rnacentral:lncRNA from 1 species